rnacentral:rRNA from 1 species
UACGGAGGGUGCAAGCGUUAUCCGGAUCCACUGGGUUUAAAGGGUGCGUAGGCGGGCAGGUAAGUCAGUGGUGAAAUCUCCGGGCUUAACCCGGAAACUGCCGUUGAUACUAUCUGUCUUGAAUAUCGUGGAGGUAAGCGGAAUAUGUCAUGUAGCGGUGAAAUGCUUAGAUAUGACAUAGAACACCCAUUGCGAAGGCAGCUUACUACACGAUCAUUGACGCUGAGGCACGAAAGCGUGGGGAGCAAACAGG